GUUUGUCUCCCUGGAGACAGACCUGCCACUUCCUUCUCCCAGCCCCAGCCCUGCUCCUUCGGUCCAUGACCCCACUUCUUCUAGCCCAGUAAAUAGAUUCCACUGAUGCCUGCAAUGAACUUCUAUAAACAAGGAACAGGAAUAUUUGGCCAUAUGUUUAGAUAUCUACAAUCUACUGGAGAGGGCCUUUUCUCAACCCCACCACCUGCUCAAGCGCACUUGGUGGGAACACAGGAGAGCGCCUAUUCGGUGGCUGCUCCCAGACUGUGGAGCUCCCUCCCAAGAGAGACCAGGAAAGACACACCCCUGCCAGCUUUCCAAAAGCAGGUUGCUAAUCCUGCCCCUAUGAAAUGGUGUUCACUGGGAUGAGCAGAUUUCUCAAUACAUAGUAGCAUAUCAUCUUGUGGGCUUAUUUUACAUCCAGCUACUCCUGAAUUCUACUUACAAUAAUUAAGAAGCAAUUCAAUUCUUUGCAAUCCAGAAAAAUUAUCAUGAAUAGUAUCACUAAUGUCUUGUAAGGAUAAAACAAAAAUAUGUUUUUUACUCCUAUCUGUGUUCUUUAAGUAUUCCAGACAACUCC
rnacentral:lncRNA from 1 species